UGCUAAUACAUGCAAGUCGAGCGGACAGAUGGGAGCUUGCUCCCUGAUGUUAGCGGCGGACGGGUGAGUAACACGUGGGUAACCUGCCUGUAAGACUGGGAUAACUCCGGGAAACCGGGGCUAAUACCGGAUGGUUGUUUGAACCGCAUGGUUCAGACAUAAAAGGUGGCUUCGGCUACCACUUACAGAUGGACCCGCGGCGCAUUAGCUAGUUGGUGAGGUAACGGCUCACCAAGGCGACGAUGCGUAGCCGACCUGAGAGGGUGAUCGGCCACACUGGGACUGAGACACGGCCCAGACUCCUACGGGAGGCAGCAGUAGGGAAUCUUCCGCAAUGGACGAAAGUCUGACGGAGCAACGCCGCGUGAGUGAUGAAGGUUUUCGGAUCGUAAAGCUCUGUUGUUAGGGAAGAACAAGUGCCGUUCAAAUAGGGCGGCACCUUGACGGUACCUAACCAGAAAGCCACGGCUAACUACGUGCCAGCAGCCGCGGUAAUACGUAGGUGGCAAGCGUUGUCCGGAAUUAUUGGGCGUAAAGGGCUCGCAGGCGGUUUCUUAAGUCUGAUGUGAAAGCCCCCGGCUCAACCGGGGAGGGUCAUUGGAAACUGGGGAACUUGAGUGCAGAAGAGGAGAGUGGAAUUCCACGUGUAGCGGUGAAAUGCGUAGAGAUGUGGAGGAACACCAGUGGCGAAGGCGACUCUCUGGUCUGUAACUGACGCUGAGGAGCGAAAGCGUGGGGAGCGAACAGGAUUAGA
rnacentral:rRNA from 1 species